rnacentral:rRNA from 1 species
GAUGAACGCCAGCGGCAGGCCUAACACAUGCAAGUCGAGGGGUAGCAGGAUUAAGCUUGCUUAAUUGCUGACGACCGGCGCACGGGUGCGUAACGCGUAUGCAACCUACCUUAUACUGGGGUAUAGCCCGGAGAAAUUCGGAUUAAUCCCCCAUAGUACUAAUGAAUCGCAUGGUUUAUUAGUUAAAGCAUUGCGGUAUAAGAUGGUCAUGCGUCCUAUUAGCUAGAUGGUGAGGUAACGGCUCACCAUGGCUACGAUAGGUAGGGGGCCUGAGAGGGUGGUCCCCCACACUGGUACUGAGACACGGACCAGACUCCUACGGGAGGCAGCAGUGAGGAAUAUUGGUCAAUGGGCGCAAGCUUGAACCAACCAUGCCGCGUGCAGGAAGAAUGCCCUAUGGGUUGUAAACUGCUUUUAUUUGGGAAUAAACCUCUUUACGUGUAGAGAGCUGAAGGUACCAAAUGAAUAAGCACCGGCUAACUCCGUGCCAGCCGCCGCCGUAA